rnacentral:rRNA from 1 species
AACGAACGCUGGCGGCAGGCUUAACACAUGCAAGUCGAGCGCCCCGCAAGGGGAGCGGCAGACGGGUGAGUAACGCGUGGGAAUCUACCCAUCUCUGCGGAAUAACGCAUGGAAACGUGUGCUAAUACCGUAUACGUCCUUCGGGAGAAAGAUUUGUCGGAGAUGGAUGAGCCCGCGUUGGAUUAGCUAGUUGGUGGGGUAAAGGCCUACCAAGGCGACGAUCCAUAGCUGGUCUGAGAGGAUGAUCAGCCACACUGGGACUGAGACACGGCCCAGACUCCUACGGGAGGCAGCAGUGGGGAAUAUUGGACAAUGGGCGCAAGCCUGAUCCAGCCAUGCCGCGUGAGUGAUGAAGGCCCUAGGGUUGUAGAGCUCUUUCACCGGUGAAGAUAAUGACGGUAACCGGAGAAGAAGCCCCGGCUAACUUCGUGCCAGCAGCCGCAGUAAUAC